ACGGCAGCGGACGUAGAUGGAAACAUCACGUAUGAGGAAAGUCCGAGCAUCACAGAGCAAGGGUAGCUGAUAACGUCAGCCGAGGGCGACCUUAGGGAAAGUGCAACAGAAAUAUACCGCCGUGCGAAAGCCCGGUAAGGAUGGAAAGGCGAGGUAAGAGCUCACCGGGGCGCAGGAGACUGCGCUGCCAUGUAAACCCUACCCGAUGCAACACCGUUUGGUUCGGCAUAUCAACGUCUGCUCGGCGGAUAUGCUGUUAUAGGUGGCUUGAGCCUUGCGGCGACACAAGGCGUAGAUAGAUUGCCGUACACGACAGAACUCGGCUUACAGGCUUACUCG
rnacentral:RNase_P_RNA from 1 species